UACGAAGGGGGCUAGCGUUGUUCGGAAUUACUGGGCGUAAAGCGCGUGUAGGCGGUUGCCCAAGUCGGGGGUGAAAGCCUUGAGCUCAACUCAAGAAAUGCACUCGGUACUGGGUGACUAGAGGACCGGAGAGGAUAGUGGAAUUCCCAGUGUAGUGGUGAAAUACGUAGAGAUUGGGAAGAACACCAGUGGCGAAGGCGGCUAUCUGGACGGUUUCUGACGCUAAGACGCGAAAGCGUGGGGAGCAAACAGG
rnacentral:rRNA from 1 species